rnacentral:lncRNA from 1 species
ACUCUCGGACGCAGAGACCCGCUCAUGUUGGUGAAGAAGCCGCGCCAGAACCGCGCGGCUGCAGUCACCUCGAGCAGGCCGGCUGCUCCUGGCAGGCGGUGUCGGCGCCGGCGGGGGACUCGGCGCCCAGGGCCCCUUCCAGGCCCUCCCUCGCCGGGCUCCCCACCAGCUCCGGAGGUGGCGGCGAUGCGGACCGAGUGAGCGGCGGUGGGGCCAGGCCGGGCGCCGGGCGGGAGCCGAGGCCGCGGCGGACUCCGCAAUCCCGCAGCCGGUGACUGGAGCCCACCUCUGCAGAGACAAAGGAACUGCUCUGGUGAACUCCCCCUGAAAGUAAAUGUCCUUGGCUGGCCUCCAGCAUUCCCCUCAUGGGCAUAGCCAUGCAGCCUUCAGAACCUUCCUGAAAGAGGGCUUGUUUCAAAUAGGUGAGGCUAUCGCUUUCCUGAAGAACAGCGGAGGACGUACCAACCGACGUCUGAGAUGCACACAGCAAGCUGGUUUAAAACCAGCGGCGAACAGAACAAAGGCAAUACAAAUAAAUAUGACACCUACUGAAAAUAACGGAACACAGCGGCAGCCACCGCAUAAAGAACUAGCGAUUUCAGGCGAUUACAAGGGCGGUUCAAAACGAAAGCAAGUUAAAAAAUGAGACGCAUUUUACAAGGCGAUUUGCCAGAGUUGCCAGAUUAUUUAAUUUGUAUGGACUAUAGAAAAAUAAUUGUCAACUUGGACAUUGUCUUUAAAUUCUUGUCACUGGCCCAAUCUUUUUCUUAAGUUUAAGGAAGCUGCAGAGCUGGACUACAAGUUACAUUCUUCAGCUAAUACGUGCUUUUCUAAUAUUUUCC